rnacentral:rRNA from 1 species
GUAACACGUAGUCAACCUGCCCUGGAGACAUGGAAAACCCCGGGAAACUGGGAUUAAUCCGUGAUAGGUCACCUCAUCUGGAAGGAGAGAUGGCUUAAAGGGGUGCGAGAGCUUCUUUCUUGCAUUCGCUCCAGGAUGGGACUGCGGCCGAUCAGGCUGUUGGCGGUGUAAUGGACCACCAAACCUGUAACCGGUACGGGCCUUGAGAGAGGGGGCCCGGAGAUGGACACUGAGAGAAGGGUCCAGGUCCUACGGGGCGCAGCAGGCGCGAAACCUUCGCAAUGCGUGAAAGCGUGACGAGGUUAAUCCGAGUGGUCCCCGCUGAGGGGAUCUUUUGUUGGCUGUAAAAAGGCCGAUGAAUAAGGGGAGGGCAAGUCUGGUGUCAGCCGCCGCGGUAAUACCAGCUCCUCGAGUGGUCGGGGCGAUUAUUGGGCCUAAAGCAUCCGUAGCCGGUUCUGUAGGUCCUCUGUCAAAUCCAACGGCUUAACCGUUGGCCCGCAGAGGAUACCGCAGGACU